UUUUAGGUCAUUGGAAUGAACGGCAUGUGACAAUCAGCCUUUGAAACCUGAGGGAGGGCGCCUUCUGACUUGAAAAUGCCCUGUGGUGAUGAGCAGACUGCAGGCAAUCAGCAGGUAUAAUGCAUCAGAGCACAAAAUGGACGGCUUUACUGCAGCACAAGGAAGCAAAGUAGUUAUUUAGAAAAGUUGCACCAUACUGGUACAAGAAAAGCUAGGCCUUUUCCAGGGAUUACCUAGGGGAAGUGCCUGCUGUAUCAGAGAAAACUUUUAGAGAUCUCUGUAGGGGGCAGGGAGGAAGGUUUGCUGACUAACAAAUACUUAACACCCAGCCUUGCCUUAGGCAGAUAUGCAGCAGGUCAUCCCUCUGUACCUUCCCUUUCUGACCAUUUUCUUGACUUCCUUUCUGGCUUUCAUAUCCCACCUCACCACCAUCCGUGCUACAGAAGCAGCAUUGGGUGGCACAUGGGAUCUCUUUGAGACUCAGGAGUCACUUCAGCUUCCAGAUCAGAGGAAAAUGAAGACCAGCAAUCUCCCCCUGAAGAUGACACUCAUUGACAGAGACUACAAUCUAAUGGAGACCGUCAACCCUAUAGAAGAUUCCAGAGUCAAGAUUAGUACACAGAUGAGGAAGACCAACACUCCAAAAGAUAGCGAACUCAAUCAAGUGGAUGAACUAUCACCCAAGCAAGAUAAAUAGAGCAAGCAAAGCAGGAAUUAAGAAUAUGCAUAAGUAGAUUUUUCCAAUAGAUGGGUGGGGAUAGAGCAGUCACAAACCAACCAACUAGAUGUCAUGGAGAUUUAAACUUGGUCCUUGUAAUAAAAAACUGAAUAAGCAGAUGAAACA
rnacentral:lncRNA from 1 species